rnacentral:rRNA from 1 species
UACGGGGGGGGGCAAGCGUUGUUCGGAAUUACUGGGCGUAAAGGGCUCGUAGGUGGCCAACUAAGUCAGACGUGAAAUCCCCUCAGCUUAACUGGGGAACUGCGUCUGAUACUGGAUGGCUUGAAUCCGGGAGAGGGAUGCGGAAUUCCAGGUGUAGCGGUGAAAUGCGUAGAUAUCUGGAGGAACACCGGUGGCGAAGGCGGCAUCCUGGACCGGUAUUGACGCUGAUGAGCGAAAGCCAGGGGAGCAAACGGGG